CCCCCCCCCCCCCGGUAGAACGACAUAGUUUCGACCGAUGUCCAUCAACGUACAGUAAGUGACAUCAAUUAUUAUUCCCUGGCCUAACAGCAUUUUCAGCCUGUAAACAAAUGAACAAAAAACUUGUAACACUUGCUUUUAUGCGUGCCAUCCAACACGUACUGAUUAGCAAUUAUGAUUAGCGAUUUUAGCUUUCGUAUUACUGGAGCACAUACCUUUCAUAAUACAGUGGCAGCAUGACUACACGAACGCUCGGGACCUGCGGGACAGCCUGCUGUUUGGACCUCUCCCUCCCUCUGGUGUUACCAGCACCCAUGAACUCCAGACGCAUCAAACUAGCAUGGCGCUAAGAACCACUCGCUCCAAAGUUUGGCUACACCUCACCAGGAAAGAAGCACCCCCAGCAGGCACAUGGACUUCAGCAUCUCUGUGAUGAACAUCUCCAGGCAACACUGCAGCUGGAUGAAAAGUCGACAUAUCUCCGGAUGGAUCUCACCGUCCUCUGGGCUGUGGUGGGAGAGCACACAGUCGAUAAAACUGAAGAACAGAUAAAAUGUUAGCUCUUGAAUUAAUAAUAACAUAGUAUAAUUUUAAUCUGCCCCCAGGGCAAACAAAUAUGCUGCAUGGGUGUAGAGUAUUGAUUGUAUGGAGAAUAAUUAUCAAGGGAUAACAUGAAUGUAGACAAUGGUGAAAAUCAAUGCAACUGAAUAUUUCUUCAUCGUGACUUAUAUUCGAUUGGCUUUGACCUGUGGAUCUGAUUGCUCUUUGGUGUUAUAUUGCCAUGUUGCUACUGCUUUAUCUAAUAUAUCUAACAGUAAAAAUUCACUAUUUGCUUGAUUUUUGUCCACAGUACAAACGCGCCUCUACUAUGCUAGGAAGUGUUUUGGACCGGCUACUGGUGAUUUUUGCAAAUGCAGGCAAAUCACGUGCAUUUGAAAAGGCUGUUUGCGCUGUUAUGCUAAUGGUCACCACCAACUUCAUACACUGAUAAACAAUGCCAUAAACUCCCACCUUCAGUAGAAAGGACAACUCCCACAGACAUUGUGCCACGAGUUCCCGUAGGGAGCAGAACGUAGAGUUGGCUUUCAUUGUGAUCAACUCAAACACAUGCUGCAUUCUAACGCCAGAUUUAGGUGGAAACAGGAAAAGGUUUUACUGCAUACAAGCAGGCAGGAGUGUCUCAAGUGAUUUGCAUGAAGAUUCAAGGGAAUUAUGAUAUUAAAAUUAGUGUAACUAUGGCUUAAAAUAUUUACGUAAAAUGAACGAUAACUGCACGUUUUGUGCUUUUAACCAAGAAUCUAGACUGUUUUACGUUCAUAUCUAUAGAAAUUGCGCACUUUAAGCAUUUAUUUACAAGAAUUUUCAACUUAAAAGCUCUUUGUUUCGUGACGUCCGUCACGUUGGAUUACACAAUACAGUAACUUUGGUUUGAAAUAGUUAUAAAUAAAUUGAAUAGUAAAAUGAACAAUAACUGCCCUUUUUAGCUUCAACCAAAGAAUCUAGACUGUUUUGUGUUCAUAUCUAUAGCAAUUGCAAGAUUUAAGCAUUUAUGUACAAGAAUUUUCAACUUAAAAAGCUAUUUGUUUCGUGACGUCCGCCAUGUUGGAUUACAUAAUACCGUAACUUUUGCUUGAAAUAUUUACGUAAAAUGAAUGAUAACUACCCGUUUUUUUGCUUCUAACAAUGAAUCUAGACUUUUUUACCUUCAUAUCUAUAGAAAUUGCGCGGUUUAAGCCUUUAUUUACAAGAAUUUUCAACUUAAAAAGCUCUUUGUUUCGUGACAGCCGCCA